rnacentral:rRNA from 1 species
CGAACGCUUGCGGCGUGCUUAACACAUGCAAGUGGAGGGAUGAAGCACCUUCGGGUGUGAAUUAGCGGCGAACGGGUGAGGAACACGUGAGAAAUCUGCCUUCAACUCUGGGAUAACUCCGUGAAAACGGGGCUAAUACCGGAUAUGAGAUCUACAGGCAUCUGUGGAUCUGGAAAGUUUUUCGGUUGAAGAUGAUCUCGCGGCCUAUCAUCUUGUUGGUGAGGUAAUGGCUCACCAAGGCGACGACGGGUAGCCGGCCUGAGAGGGCGACCGGCCACACUGGGACUGAGACACGGCCCAGACUCCUACGGGAGGCAGCAGUGGGGAAUAUUGGGCAAUGGAGGAAACUCUGACCCAGCGACGCCGCGUGCGGGAUGAAGGCCUUCGGGUUGUANACCGCUUUCAGCAGGGAAGAAGCGAAAGUGACGGUACCUGCAGAAGAAGCACCGGCUAACUAUGUGCCAGCAGCCGCGGUAAUACAUAGGGUGCAAGCGUUGUCCGGAAUUAUUGGGCGUAAAGAGCUCGUAGGUGGUUCGUCACGUCGGAUGUGAAACUCUGGGGCUUAACCCCAGACCUGCAUUCGAUACGGGCGAGCUUGAGUAUGGUAGGGGAGUCUGGAAUUCCUGGUGUAGCGGUGGAAUGCGCAGAUAUCAGGAGGAACACCAAUGGCGAAGGCAGGACUCUGGGCCAUUACUGACACUGAGGAGCGAAAGCGUGGGGAGCGAACAGGAUUAGAUACCCUGGUAGUCCACGCCGUAAACGGUGGGCACUAGUUGUGGGGACCUUCCACGGUCUCUGCGACGCAGCUAACGCAUUAAGUGCCCCGCCUGGGGAGUACGAUCGCAAGAUUAAAACUCAAAUGAA